CAUGAUCCUGGUAUGAAUUAUAGUUUACGCUAAUAUGUGGUAUCCGAGCAUGAUAUUUGAACUGGAAAUCUUCCUUUACUAGUACAACUGAAAUCACCGAGGCUUUAGUUAAGAACAGUUUUCAGCGAAACUGUAAGAACAUAUUUAUUUUCUCAUGAUGUGUAAAUAAGUAGAAUUGAGAAUUCAAUCUCUAAGCCAGCGAGAUUAGAAAAUC
rnacentral:lncRNA from 1 species